GGGGGUGUAGCUCAGCUGGGAGAGCGCCUCGUUCGCAACGAGGAGGCCGAGAGUUCAAAUCUCUUCACCUCCACCA
rnacentral:tRNA from 1 species